AAGCAAAGAUGGGCAGCUCUGAACACAAUGUGGAGGAUUUAUUGUAAAGAAUUUGUUUGUAAAUUUCAAAUAAAUAAAUAGUUAAAAAUAUGGAAAAAAUUACAUCAUUCCAUCCAUUUCUUCACGAAUGUGGGGGAGGGAUAGAAAGUUGGUUCCCCUAAACCAUACCAAGGAAUGAAAGGGUGGCUUGCUUUCCAUUUUAGGAGGCUCCAUUCAAAGAGCCCAAAGGAUCCUUAAUUAGUAGGACAGCAGGUCAUGAAUGGGACAGAGUGCAGGAUAUCAGUAUCUAUCCUAUGUUUUAUGCCUUCAGACUGUGGUCUCUUCCUAACACAAAAUUGAUUCUUCUGCAAUCCCUCUGGCUUUUGGAACCAUUUUUGUUUAGUGAUUUUGUCACUUUGUAACACAAUUUGGGGAUUCUUUGCAAAAAUGUUGGAGGGACUUGCCAUUUCUUUUUCCAACUUAUUUUACAAAUAAGGAAACUGAGGCAAAUAAGGUUAAGUGACUAGCCUAGACUCACACAAUUAAUAUCCAAGGCAAGAUUUGAUCCAGGAAGAUGAAUAUUCCCAACCACAGACUCAACACAGUUACACACUGCUAGCAGUCUCAUGAAAUAAUUAAAGCUGAUUAAAACAAAACAAAACAAACAAAAAGGAUAAAUAGCAUUUGUGGGAGCAUAUAUCAAACAAGGGUGCAAGAAUCAGGGAUAUAUUCAGAGUAUAAAGGUCUCAGGUUCUUCCCCUGAGCUGGAGGCAGCCACUUCUGCUCUCAGAACCCCCACACCUCCCAGCUGCUUUGCAUAAAGAGAUCCCCAUGGGGAGGGCCUGCAGACACAGGGAGAUAAACUGGGCCUGGGGGCAGAGCAGCCACAGGGGAGGAGUCACUGCAAGAUGGAGUCUCUGUCCCAGCUUCUCUGUGGGCUCCUGAUGCUUUGGGUCCCAGUUUCCAGGGGAGCAAUUGUGCUGACCCAGUCUCCAGCCUCGGUGUCUGUGAGCCCAGGAGAGAGAGUCACCAUCAGCUGCAAGGCCAGUCAGAGUGUCACAACCAAUGAUGGAAACAAUUACCUAGACUGGCUCCAACAUAGACCCGGACAGUCUCCUCGGGGACUCAUUUACCAGGUUUCCAACCUGGCCUCCGGAGUCCCCGCCCGCUUCAGUGGCAGUGGUGCUGGGAAGGAUUUCACCCUCACAAUCAGCAGUCUGGAGGCUGAAGAUGCGGCAGUCUAUUACUGUUCUCAAAGGUCUUAUCGUCCUCUCACAGUAUUACAGCCCAGAACAAAAACCUCCCCAGGCCUGGGCUGGCUGCUCAGGGAGGCCCAGCUGCCUCCCCUCCUUCCUCUGCUGCAGCAGCUGCUGGGGGCCUGCUCAGGGGCAGGGUCUCUGGGGCUGAUGAGAUAAAAGGGAUUCGGGCUCAGGGGAAAGGCCACGGUCUGAGAACUCGGGGCUCUUGGGACUCUUGUUCCUCUUCAGCCAUGAGCAGAAUCAUCAAAGAAAGAACCACUGGCUCAGACUGGGUCACCCCACAAUGCCCUGGGCCUGAGGCACUCUCCCAUUCCUAUUCCAUGUGACUCCCCUCGGCACAAGAACCAAAGAGAAAGUAGAAACUUCUGGCCAGAGAUUCUUUCUGUCCUUUCUCCCUGGCUCAAUAUUCCUCAGCAGUCAAUGACUCUUGGGACCAAGAACAUAAGAAGAUCAGGCAACAGGUUACUGAAAUCCAUCAUGGACCCAGCUUAAAAUUCACACUCUCCCAGCAGCGAGAUGUACGGGGCAGCUGCCCUGGAGUCAGGAGGACCUGAGUGCAAAUCCAGACUCAGACACCUCAUAUUUUCUAGUUGUGUGACCCUGGGCAAGUCACUUAAUCCUAAUUGCCUCAGAAAAAAAAUUCACUCUGGAUCUAUUUUCUCUGCCCAUGCAAUUAAAUCAGACUUUUAUCUA